rnacentral:rRNA from 1 species
GAUGAACGCUGGCGGCGUGCCUAAUACAUGCAAGUCGAGCGAACAUGCGAGGAGCUUGCUCCUCUUACCUUAGCGGCGGACGGGUGAGUAACACGUGAAUAACCUACCUAUAAGACUGGGACAACAGCGGGAAACCGCUGCUAAUACCGGAUAAUAUAUUGAACCGCAUUCGGCAAUAGUGAAAGACGGUUUUUCGCUCACGGAUAGAUUGGUCCGCGCCGCAUUAGCUAGUUGGUAAGGUAACGGCUUACCAAGGCAACGAUGCGUAGCCGCCAUGGAAGGGUGGACGGCCAGACUGGCACUGAGACACGGUCCACACUCCUACGCGAGGCAGCAGUAGGGACUCCUCCGCAAUGCGGGAAUGGGUGAUGGAGCACAGUCGCGUGAACGAUGAAGGUCUUACGCUCGUAGAACUAUGUAAUUAGUGAAGAACUAAUGUGCAAGUAACUAUGCCCGUAUUGACGGUACCUAACAAGAAAGCACCGGCUAACUACGUG